GACGAACGCUGGCGGCGUGCCUAACACAUGCAAGUCGAGCGGAAAUAAUUGAAAGCUUGCUUUUGGUUAUUUUAGCGGCGGACGGGUGAGUAACGCGUGGGCAACCUGCCUGUUACAGGGGGAUAACACAGGGAAACUUGUGCUAAUACCGCAUAACACAGCGAGGUAGCAUUACCUUGUUGUCAAUGGAGAAAUCCGGUGACAGAGGGGCCCGCGUCCAAUUAGCGAGUUGGUGCUGUAACGGACAACCAAGGCGACGAUUGGUAGCCGAACGGAGAGGUUGAUCGGCAACAAUGGGACUGAGACACGGCCCAGACUCCUACGGGAGGCAGCAGUGGGGAAUAUUGCACAAUGGGGGAAACCCUUAUGAAGCAACGCCGCGUGAAGGAUGAAGGUUUUCGGAUUGUAAACUUCUUUAGUCAGGGACGAAAAAAAUGACGGUACCUGAAGAAUAAGCCACGGCUAACUACGUGCCAGCCGCCGCCGUAA
rnacentral:rRNA from 1 species